CCGCUCGUAGAUCAACUGGAUAGAUCAACGCUCUUCUAAAGCGUAGGUUGCAGGUUCGAAUCCUGCCGAGCGGGCCA
rnacentral:tRNA from 1 species